ACGGCGCGCUACACUGAUGAAGUCAUCGAGUUCAUUUCCUUUAUCGGGAAGAUAUGGGUAAUCUUUUGAAACUUCAUCGUGCUGGGGAUAGAGCAUUGCAACUAUUGCUCCUGAACGAGGAAUCCCUAGUAAGUACAAGUCACUAGCUUGUGCUGAUUACGUCCCUGCCCUUUGUACACACCGCCCGUCGCUACUACCGAUUGAAUGGCUUAGUGAGGCCUUCGGAUUGAAAUUCGGAGACUGGCAACAGACUCUUGGUUUUGAAAAGUUGGACAAACUUGGUCAUUUAGAGGAAGUAAAAGUCGUAACAAGGUUUCCGUAGGUGAACCUGCGGAAGGAUCAUUACCGAUUUUUAGCGGACCUGAUCUUU
rnacentral:rRNA from 1 species